CGGGAAUCUGAUUUCAAAAAUUGCAAUCCGUUCUACUCUUUACAGCCUUAUUACUAAUACUACUACUAGUACUAGUACCGAAGUAUAUAGCAAUAAUAUACUAGUACUAGUCUUAGCCAUAGUACUUUCUAAGUUACCAGGGCCGGCCUUAGGCGAGUACUCAGGAUCAGGUUCUUCAGUUUCGAUACCAGAAGUGUAUAGUCGACUCGGCCACUGAGUCGUGAGGUGGUUGCUUCAGUAACCUAAGGCUAGGCCUACAAAUUACUAUAAUAGUAUUACCUAACGUCGAGACUGGUCAAGAACAAGGCAUGGUCUAGGAUUUAAAAACUACUAAAUCAGUAGUAAGAUUGUAAUGUUAUGUACUGGGUGCAUAAAUAUGGAUUUGGAAGAAUACAAUCUACUUUUAUAGAAUAUUGGAUUAUGUAAACAAACAAGAAGUUUGAUGUUAUCAUUUGUAAUAUUGCAGCAUUCUGCUGAAUGUAUUACUGGUAAAAAAAAGAAGCAAAAUCUAGUCCAGUCUCUUCUGUUAGGUAUUUAAGAUGUAUUUUACAUUUAAAUUUUAAAUAACCAGGGAGGUUCAGAAACAGAAGUUUCUCUUCGUCCCAAGGAAAAUAAGUUUAGUAAUUUAGUAGUGGGUAAAUGGAUCUGACCGUGGAAGAUAGUUUCAACACUCUAAUGCCUCCGGCAAAGCAAGGAAGUCCAAGAAAAAGAAAGAAAACUGGAUGCUGAUCUUCCUGUGGUGUUCUCUUCAUUUAAAAUAGUGCCAAGUAUUCUACCUGACAUCAGACUAUAUUGUGAAGAUAAGACAAUAAAAAAACAUUUAAACACUCAAGAAAGAUAUCAUGCUGCUAUGGAAUAUUUCUGAGAUACAGUAUUAUGUAUGGAAUAUUUCUAUGGAAUAUUUCUGAGAUACAGUAUUAUGUAUGAAUUCUUUAAGAUGAGUUCUUGUUAUUGAUUAAGUUUAAUGGUGAUAGGUAUUUCUACCAGAGUGUUGGAAAGAGGUGGAAAUUGUUUAGUCUGUUCAUUAUGAUAUGGCAGGUUUUUAUAAAAUCUAAAAGCCAGUUUUAAGAUUCAUUAUUUGCCCACAGAUAUAUUGCUUAUUUUAUUUAGAUACUGAGAGGAAGUAUAAAUUUGUAGGCAGUGAGCAAUUCUGAUGGCUAUGUUUUGAUUUUUCUGUAAUAUAUUGUGUAGAGAGUCUGAAAUAUUACAGGUUACUUUACAACCAUACUCUGUUAGUGGUCUAAUUUAAGCUUUAUAAGUAAUUGUGAUAGAUUAGCUGUUAUAACCUGUGAUGCUGCCUCCGAUUUUAAGAAGGUAGGCAGUUCUCUGAAUGAUAUUUUGACAAAUGAUGUUAUGUUGUGUGUUAUAUGUAAAAAUUUAAUUGUCAGUAAACUUUUGAUUGACUUUCAAUAAUUUCUUACAUUUUCCAUUGUUGUUUCUAUGAAAUGUAAUUGCUUGUAUCUUAAUCAAUAUAAGAAGUACCUCUCACUGGUGGUUAUGACAGCUCUGUCAUAAGUUAAAGCAGGGAAGGGGAUAUCAAUAAAAGAAUCAUGUAGAGUAGUGAGUCUUGUGGAACUGCAGCUUUUAGCAGAUAAGAUUUGGAAAUUGCAUUAUUAAUCUUAACUUUAGCAAAAUGCUAAGAAAUAAAAUUUGAGAUCCAUUGAAUCAGGGAAUUGGGGGAUUGAAUAUUGGGAAGAGCUUGAAUUUCAGUCUGUUAUAUCGUACUGAAUCAAAAGUUUAUUGACAUCAAGAAAACUUGCUACUGUAGUAUGGUUUGUAUUAAAACCUUGAAAUACAGAUUCAGUUUAUAUGACUAAAUGGUUGGUCAGUGGUUUGUUUGUUCUUGUGGCCAGUGUUUUGUAUAUUAGAAAAUAUUUUGUUGGAUUAUAAGUAGUUAAGAAAUCAAGUAGCUAUUAAUUUUUUCCAGAAGUUUCUCUAUAUUGUUUGUUAGUCUUAUUAGUCAGUAGUCACUUGGGUUAUUAAGUACUAAAUUUUUAUUGGGUAUAACUUUGAUUAGGGCUGAUUUUCAUCUUGAUGGAUAAUACCCUGAUUUAAAUGAAAGGUUGAAUAAUGUACUUAGAUGUACUAAUAAAGGUUCAGAAAGAUUUUCAAGAACUAACUUAUUGAUGCCAUUGUCACGUGGAUUUUUGCUUGAUAUUUUGUCCUGAAUGCUGUAGUGAUUGCUAAGGUAUUGUUAUGUAUUGUAUCUGUAUUUAAUGCAAAUGUUGUACAUAUUUCUGACAGAUUCUUGUCAACGUUAAACAUUAGAGAAAUCAAAAACUAGUCAGUUGGAGAGUACUAUUCGUAGAGCUAUUAAAUAAGAUAAUACCCACCUAUAUUAUCAUGAUUUUGGAAGUGAAAGGAGUGAGCUAUUAGUGUUGAUGAAACUAUUACUAGGUUUAAAAUAUCCUAUGUUCUGUCUGUAUGUAUAUAUGUCAUGCUGUUAUUAUUGAUUAUGUUAUUUUCUGUAAAAUGAUGUAAAAUUGUGUCAUGAAAAUUGACAGUUAAAGUCAAAGUGUUUGGAGUCUAGAUCUCCAAUGAUUAUGUUUCUAGGAUAUUGGCUGAUUUCUGAUUAUAGGAAUGCUAGAUCUAGAGUAGGUGAUGCUUAGGUGGUUAAAAGGGUAAUGGUUGCAAAGUUUGGUUGGAUGAUGUUACAUAGAAUGAACUCAUUGCUAAAGGUUGAGAAGCUGUUAGGAAGGUUAUUCUUAAAUCUUUUUUUAUUUAAUAAUUCUAUGCUUUCUUACCCAGAUGUUUAGGUUAGGCUGAGAUAUAAUUAGACAAGUUAAAAUGGUUAGGGUUGUUAAGAAGCAUCUUGCUGUACAUGCCACUCCGGAAUGACAAAAUUUUUGGUAGUUGUAACACUGCAAAACAUUAGGUGCUGUGGUCCUGGCAGGUUCAACAGAGUGUUGCCGAUACCAAAGAGAUAUUCUUGUCUGGAUUAACCCUUUUGUAGUGGGCUCGGUAUAAUAUACACGAGUUCAUAUACAUGUUUGCAUACGUUAAGUAUUUAUAUUAUAACUUUUAAUUCAGUAUGUGCAUCUUCACAAAAUUUGGUAUACCUUUACUAAACAUUACAAGUCUUUUGUACACAGAAUAUCAAAUUUUUUAAUGAAGUAUUUUUACUAAAGAUUUGUUUGUGAAUAUAUCGUUUAGUUACUAGUCCAAGUGAAAGUGAUUUUCAUGUUGUGAUUAAAAAUACUAUUCUUCAUUCCCCAAAAUCUUUAAAACCUCCUAAGUACAUUUCAAACAUUUGUUUUCAGUAAAACUAUAUCUUAUCGGUUAUUUAAUGAUACACUUGAGUCUUCAGCUUGUAGACAAAUCCUAAAAGUAUAAUGAAAAGACAAGUUGUAAAAUUAGAAAUAAAAGGAGCAGCUGUGCCUUUUUUCGUUGUUAUUGGUCACAAAGUUUCAAAGUACUUCUCUUACGAGUUUGAAUUGUUAAACAUUUCAUAUUUAGUUUCUGUGUUUAUUUUACUGUCAACAACCAAAGUAGAACCUCGCUGAAAAUAAACCAAUAAAUCGCCGCUUGUGUCAGUAGACUGUUUACGUGACACCACCAUAAUACGGUACUCCUGAAAGUAACAAAGCACAUGGGAAAAGAUAGUUGAUUUGACCCCUGCUUCGACAACAGGAUGUCUAAUGUAUCAGAUCAUAUAUGCUAAAUGUUUUCUUGGAAAAAUUCAGAAUAAUCACAUUGCACUUAGAAUCAGUGAAAAUGUUUAUGCCGACAACAGGAUGUGUGUAAUUUAUCGGAUCAUAUAUGCUAAAUGUUUUCUUGAAAAAUUCAGAGUAAUCACACUGCACUUAGAAUCAGUGAAACCAUUUAUGUCGACAACAGGAUGUGUAAUUUAUUGGUUUAUGUAUGUAUAUUACAGUGUUCACAACAAGCCUUUUUGAGAGUGACAACACUAUACUUUGAACCUGUCAAAAUGUUAUUAUGCGGUUUGGUGCUGAUACAAUAAAUAUUACAAUUCUAUGAAUAUUGAUAAUCCUUUUUGGGGUGAUUGGAAUUUAGUGGCAUAGGUGUACAAAGAUGUUAUUUGAGCACAUGCUUCUAAAAUCCUAUUUCCCUUUUCAGCACUUAAUUGUCAACCAAUAGAAACUCUAGUUUUGGUAGUACUUAUCACACUUGUUUAGUUUCGCAAGCCUUAGAAGUCUAGUCUUCUUUGGAAAAUAUUCUUACUUUUACAGCUAAAGUGUAGUUUAGAAGUUCCCUUACAGUUGUAUAACACCUUGAGUUGUUACUACCACUUACCUUGAAGUAAGUAAUAAUCAUUUAUAAUUUAUAUAUAUACAGAAUCAAAUACAAAGUACAAAUCUAAGUGUAUUACCAAUAUUUUGCAAACUACACCUAUAUUUUGGCUUCCAUAUAUUACAUAUAUACAUACAUACUUACUCAUAUAUGCUUAUAUUUUUCUUAAAACAUGAACAAUAAAUGAAAAUUACAUAUAAAAACAAUGUUUUCUAGUACUUACGAGAAGUUAUGAUGACAGGAAAAUAUUUUCCCUCGUGUGCCUUUAGUGGUAAGCCUCAUUUAUUUUUUUGAGUGAAGGGUGAAAAGAUAUAAUUUUUGUAGGCCUCAAGUAUACAUUUUAGAAAGAAGCAAUAUAUUACUCUACCAGUACACCAAAAACAUCUGUAACUUGUUUGGGUUUAUAAAUAAAGUAUAUAUGUGUUA